rnacentral:rRNA from 1 species
AACGCACCUUGCGCUCCUUGGUAUUCCGAGGAGCAUGCCUGUUUGAGUGUCAUUAAAUUCUCAACUCUUAUUAGCUUUAUGCUGAUAAAGGGCUUGGAUGUGGGGGGUAUUUUUUGCUGGCUUCAUUAGAUGGUCAGCUCCCCUAAAAUGCAUUAGCUGGUGCCCCACGUGGACUGUCUAUUGGUGUGAUAAUUAUCUACGCUGUGGACAUCUACACUUAUAUGGGUUUGCGCUGCUUCUAACUGUUUGUUCAUUCAGACAAUACAUGACCAUUUGACCUCAAAUCAGGUAGGACUACCCGCUGAACUUAA